UGGUGGAGUAAUAGCCUACCAAGGCAAUGAUCUAUAGCUGAUCUGAGAGGAUGAUCAGCCACACUGGAACUGAGAUACGGUCCAGACUCCUACGGGAGGCAGCAGUGGGGAAUAUUGGACAAUGGGCGAAAGCCUGAUCCAGCCAUGCCGCAUGAGUGAAGAAGGCCUUUGGGUUGUAAAGCUCUUUUAGUGAGGAAGAUAAUGACGGUACUCACAGAAGAAGUCCUGGCUAACUCCGUGCCAGCAGCCGCGGUAAUACGGAGAGGGCUAGCGUUAUUCGGAAUUAUUGGGCGUAAAGGGCGCGUAGGCUGAUUAAUAAGUUAAAAGUGAAAUCCCGAGGCUUAACCUUGGAAUUGCUUUUAAAACUAUUAAUCUAGAGAUUGAAAGAGGAUAGAGGAAUUCCUGAUGUAGAGGUAAAAUUCGUAAAUAUUAGGAGGAACACCAGUGGCGAAGGCGUCUAUCUGGUUCAAAUCUGACGCUGAAGCGCGAAGGCGUGGGGAGCAAACAGGAUUAGAUACCCUGGUAGUCCACGCUGUAAACGAUGAAUGUUAAAUAUGGGAAGUUUACUUUCUGUAUUACAGCUA
rnacentral:rRNA from 1 species